rnacentral:rRNA from 1 species
GACGUAGGGGGCAAGCGUUGUUCGGAAUUAUUGGGCGUAAAGAGCUCGUAGGCGGCUUGUCACGUCGGGUGUGAAAGCCCGGGGCUUAACCCCGGGUCUGCAUUCGAUACGGGCUGGCUGGAGUGUGGUAGGGGAGAUCGGAAUUCCUGGUGUAGCGGUGAAAUGCGCAGAUAUCAGGAGGAACACCGGUGGCGAAGGCGGCUCUCUGGGACGGUACUGACGCUGAGACGCGAAAGCGUGGGGAGCGAACAGG